AAUAGAUUCACUCACGCUGUUGCUGAUGGAAGCUGUGUAGGUACUGGCCCCAACAGUCAUGAAGGCAGCCUGCUCUGUCCCUAUAAUUCGAUAACCACUUUCCUGUUCCUCACUUGCCAUGACGAUUUGUGAAGGUAUUUGCUGCAAUUAGACACACCUAGAGAAUAAAAGGGCAACACUUUUCAGGUAAGUUGGAAUCAUCUAACUGAAUAGGUGUCAAAACAUUUAAGAAACCCAGUUUGGAGACUUGCUAAUAACUAAUAAGGUGUUACAAUUUAUGUUGAAUUCGAGUUACUGUUCCCAUUUUGAGGAUGAAUAUACCUGUUCACCUUUUCCUAAUGGAUUCUCAAUUACAGGUAAAGUAAGAAUUUUCAGGAGCAAAUCAUACAAAUUUCGUAUAAAGGAACUACCCUGUUCCUUGAACUGGAAUAAACACAAAGACCGAAGAAUUAGGAGGAAACGUGGUAUAAGAAAAGCAGGCAGAGGGUGAGAGAUGCUCCUUGUUCUCUUUGUGCACAUCUUUUGCAAAAGGGAAAGGAAGGAUUCCAAAGUUUGAGGUUUUGUGCCAUUCGUUGGCACUUCCCUUAGCUGUUCUACCUUUUGGAACCUCAGCGAGAGGUAGGAAGUGGAGCUGUGGAGAUACAUGAGAAAAGUUCUAAAGCACCCUGCCAUGUCACUAGAUAGUUUCUCUGGGACCGUAUAGAUCUGCAAAUAUCUAAGGUUGAAAUCGAAUGACAACUGGCAAAUUGAUGAUUAGUCGCUGUUUGAUGGUACAGUCAGGAUGGUUGGAGAGAAGACCAGAAUAUUAAUCACUGAAAGCCUGUGAGCUGGUUGACAUGAUCAAAUAAAAACUGGAAGCUGAGUGCCCUGGAGCGGUUUCCUUUGCUGACGUGUUUGCUAUUUCAGCACGAGAUGGAGUAUUUUUGGAUAUAUAUAUCAUGAAAUGGAGGGAGUAUAACGGAAGAGAGUAAAUGCACCUAAAUUUAGAAUUGUCUCGCAAGUUGGUGGCCCCUAUGGGGAUAUUCCAUCAAGAAGAUUAGAUUCCGAAAGGCAAGCCUGGACCAGGUGAAUAGCGAUGUCCUGACUGCUCAGCAGGGCCUCGCUCUUAUUUCCAACGACAGAGCUGCAAUCCCAUGCUAAUGUGUGGUCUAGCAUGCAUAUUCUUAUCACGAUUAUCGCUGUAAAUAUUUAAAAACUUCCCGGUGUUUUUUUUUACUUCAUGUGAACAUAAUGCCAUAAAGGUACUCAGGUUGCAAAACAUCUGAGACCGCAAAAUCAUUAUCUCAAUUGAGCCAAGAUCUAAACAUAGCUUAAUAAUGUAUUCUGAUAAGAAGAUCCUAGCUAUUGAUUUGACUUGUUCAGAUUAUAUAUUGUCAGUUUGAACAUCACUUUGUAGCUA